rnacentral:lncRNA from 1 species
UCACCAAGUUCAUACACCAGGUUUUCUUCAGGUCGAUGUUUUAAAACUUUCAUGUUAAGCUUCGAACGCAUAACAUUUAGCAGCAUACCUUUACUGUUUCCGCAAAAGAUGGCGCUGCUGUCUCUGAACACUGUGAGAUUUGAAUACAUGAUUAGCUCUUGUUUUCAGAGUGUGUGAUGACGUGUUAUUUGUUUAUUUCGCAAGAGUGUCUGCUACGUUGGGCCAGCCAUGGCAGCACACGUUGUAGACCUGAAUUUGAUACUGAUGCACUUUGUGAUGGUGUUUUUAGAAGAAUACAAGUAGUCCUACCCGCGAGUCUUCAGUUUAUUUCUUAUUGAGUUAAACGGUAUCAUCAAGAAUAGUUAACGAACGUUUAUCAAUCAUAUAUCCUCCCCUCACCCGGUCAACCCAAAUAGCAUCGACAAAUAUACAAAACGAAAAAACAAUAUAUAUAUAUAUAUAUUUGAAGUUGCUUGACAUUUUUAGUAAAGAACAAAUAGAUGAACUUGCUGGCUGGUGUAUUUUAUGGCUAUUAUAGUCUGCUUGUAAUUAAAUAUACACUGUCGUGCCAGGAAAUGGUCACAAUCACAUGCGACGAAGAUGUUAUACUAUACUAUAAAGCCACUUCUGGAUUGCAAGCUCACCUCAAGGACCCAUUUUCACCAUAAAAUAGCGGAUCUAUACAAAUACAUUGACCCACAAAUUUUGCCCGAAGAACUGGGGGGUACUUCUGGGCCAAUGAAACCAGGAAAACUUGAAGAGAAUUUCUUGGCCAGUCACGACGACAUCGUUCAACUCAACUACUGCGGCUACAUCAUAUAACUGAACUACAAUUUGAUUCCUUGAAUGUGAUAGAGGGUGCUAUCAAGGAACUCUGAUCGUCAUUAGACACGUUCCAAGGGACACUGCGACAUCGCUGCUACAUUGAUCUUUUACUUGGUUGCAUUUUAACAGAGACUGUUAGAAUGUCAUUUGCGUGGGGCUGUAUAGUGAAGUCCUUGUACACUCUAUCAAGACCUUGUCAGGGCAAAAAGGUACAAAUAAAAAGAUACUAACAACACUACUCUUUCUGAAGCUGUCUGGGAUAUGGCGUGCAACUCAAGCCUUGCACCAGCUGACAAAAAUUGCAACUUAUAAAUGCGUCCUUCUUCGUAGGAAGGUGUGUGCGGAAGGUGAUUGAGCAAGGAUCCAAUGCGAUCUGCGAUGGAAACGUCGACCUGCCGCUCAUGUUAUUAGGGAAACGUUUAAAGAUACACAUGUCUUGAUGCGGAAUUGAGCAAAUCGAAACCGUGACCGUAGAGAAUACCAGUUACAAUGAACGUUCAGGUCGAUACAUGCAAAAUAUGUCAUACUGGUAGUUAUCGCUAUUUAACCAGUGCUUAUGAACAAGUCACAUCUAAAUAGUCCCAAUAAGUAGUAGCCAGGCUCUACAGAUGUGCCUAAUUUACUGCUCGUGGAACUCAUCAAUGACGAUUUAGACUAAGAGAAAAACGGAGCUGAACAUGACAGAGAAAUGAAUUCGUUAGCUAACUUAGUCUGUAAACACUUUGUCCAAAGUGAUCCAUUCACAUUGUGUGCAUUUGGGACAAAUGAUUGCCUACAACCAGGUACGUAGCCUCUAUACUGUCCACAAACAACAGACAAAGACUUUGUUGUAUUACGGAUUCGUUGUAUCGGAGGAUUGCUUCAAGAUUAUAUCGAGCGUUUUCACAGGAGACAACUGUUCCUGUUCGUAUGACAGGAUUUUAGAAAAAUACGAUACUGUAUGAUGGGCUAAUGUCACCUUUCAGAGUUUUACGGUUUAAGGCAUAUGGAUAUCCUCGCAUCAUCCGCAAACAGCCAUUUUACGGAUCAGAAGACGUAGGUCUCAUCUUUUUACCUUCUUGGAGACUACUAUCGCUAGCGCGAGUCGAUCGGAUGUUCUCGUAAUGACCUGCUCUGUCGCAAAGUAUACUAGUAUAGAGCCAUGAAUGACAUCCAAUGCCUAUGCUAAACCUAUAAUUGCUAUCGUUUAUAGUAUCAUUAAUAGAAUGAGAUACAAAGCUUAAGAUACUGAGAGAAUGUGAGCCGGCGAAAGAACAGAUUUUUUUUUUAGCAUCGUGCGAAAAUCAGAACCACGCACUUCGAAACGAACAUUUCCAUCAGAUACCCCGAAAGACGUUUCAGAUAACUUAUUCUAGCUAAUCAAAACAGUUCUCAAUUGAUCUAUGUAAUUCACUGAAAUAUUACGAGUUUAAAAAGUUGUUUAUGCCAAUGGCGCUAUCGACGGGAUUAUCGGAGCCGAUUUAGCUAGAAUUAUCUGAUUUUUACGUGUUACGACAUGCUCCAAGCAUAAUGGAGCGAUUAAUUGUUACUUUACUACGAAUCCCGAAAUUACUGGCAAUGAGUGGACGGCACGAUAAAAGUUAGAAAAAGUACAUAAAUAAAGUUACAACAACGACCAAGCCUAAUCUCCACUUCUUUCUAUACGGCUCAUACGCGUUUUGUGGGGCUAAUGGAAGUGCAGCGGGCAAAGACGGGUGCGGGAAUGGUGAUGUUUUGGGCAUACCGAGAACUCCGAUCUUUAAUCUCCUCUACAAACUUCUCUCGGAGGAAUAAAUGAGUCUAAUAGUGCUACAAUGGUGCCAUUUAUAUUUUACAUACCAUUUAAGAGAGAUUUCCGUAAAAAUGGACGUUUGUCUUGGAUAUUCUAGAUUUAAGCAGAGCUGGGUAAAAUGCGGAUCCUGCGUAUGUCAUGAGCGGCUUAACAUGUAUCUUGAUUAGUCCGAUGUAUAAAGUCGGGUCUUUCAGAACAAAUAGGUGUAAU